AGCGGCGGGCGGGCCGGCAGCCUGUCACGGCUGCUCGGUGCGGUCCCUGUGCCCGCCGGUCUCUUCAGUCGGGAUCUGGGUCGUUUUCCUGGCUUCCUGAAUCCAGUGAGGACUUGCGGGCUGGUCAGCAUGUAGAGGUGUCGGCCCCGAGCCCUGCGCGCGAUCUCUCGAGAUUAAAAACUUUGUUCCUGAUGAAGAGUCCCUGUACAUCUUCCUUGGAGGUGCCCUGCAGAUACUGGAAGAUUGCUAUGAAGUCUCCACACAACCUUCUCCAGGCUGAACAGCCCCAGCUUUCUCAGCCUCUCUUCGUAGGGGAGGUGAUCUGGUUCCAAUCACGCUGAUAAAUGGCUGAAAAUCUGUUUUGCAAGGUGAUGUCAUACCUAGAACUCUGUAUUUGAGUGAAUUUGACAACUAGUCAAAAUCAUGACAAAAUAUGAAUUCUUACUAAGCCCUGUCAAGAUAGUUGUGAUCUAUUAAAACUGAUGUUACAGAUUAUCUUUUUUGUGAAAUGCAUUGCAUUUGUAAUGCUGUAAAAAUAAAUCAGAAAUUUGACGCGUGUGGGGAGGCAAGGGGUGACAAGCACAAGAACUGGGUGAGGAGGAAAGCUGAGCUGUUUAAGGAUUUUCCUUUGCUCAAGAGACCUUCCGCAGCUGGAAGGUUUAAGUCUAGAAGAAAUAAUGUGGGAAGCAGCAACAUUCUGUUUUUCCCUCCAGCUGUUUUUGCCAAAAAAGAUGUAGUUUCUAUCAAGAGAAAUAAUUACAGGUUAUGUAAAACUUCAAAGCAUUCUUUCCCAUUGACUGAGGGGAGGGGAAAUAAGAAGAGAAAGAGAAAACUGUAAAAAGCAGCCCAGAGGGCAUUCUGCAUGUGUUGGGCCUUUGACACAUAAGUCAGGAGCCUUAUGUGUGUGUGUGUUCUCUCCCACCUGGCUGUGAGUUCUCACAGUCUGUUCUAGCAUUUCUGAAUUUGGAAAUUAACUGUCUUCAAUGCUGGAGCUAAUGGCUUAGUUCUCUGGUUACCUGCGUGCAUAUCAAAUCAUACAUGUGAUAUACAAUCUUUGUUAAAGAAAGAAAAAAGCAGUCAAGGAACAGUCAGGAACAGAACCAUACAAACUUGCUAUCAGAGGCAUUUUGCUGCAGAAAACAUUUUUUACCUCAGAAACUGACUAAUGAGGGUAAACACCACCCCCUUUCCUAAACUGAAGAUUUUUACUGCCUGGCUAAGUUCUCUCUAGCACUCUGCCCUAGCCAAGAUGCAAUGUAAAUAAUUAUAUUUUAACAAGGAUCUUAGCAUAAAGGAUACAAAAGUGAUUUCUUAAACAGAUAGGAAAAAAUGGUUUAUUAAAAUAAGAGAGGGAUAUUUUCAGACAGCAAAAGAACAUCCCAUGGUGUCUGGCUAGACAGUGUUUGGGAAGAGCAGCCCCUGGAGAAUUUCAAAGGGCUUGUUUGAAGGCUUGCAUCUCAGUUCACUGUACAUUGAGAAAAAGAUGCAAAAACUAUUCAAGGGUUGAGCACAAAGGAUGACGUUUUCCUCUUCCGAUUGCAUGGCCAAGAGCUCUAUUCACACUGCUUAACUUGCUGUCCCAGAUCCGAUGGCAUGAGAGUAAUGAACAACUCAGACCACCUACUAUUCAGGCAUGCCAGACACAGACUCCAUAUGCAGUUGUAUCCUGAAGUAUAGGGCUGUCACGUACAGUAGGCAGUUGAAACAUGGAGCCAAGUCUGCAUGUGGAGAGUGCUGAAGAACGUUGCUAGGAGGCCUAACGUUCUUCACUGCCAGUCUGCAGAGCCAUCUAAAUCUGGUGUUUCACUCCCAGACAAAGGAAUCUCUUCCUUUUAGGUAAGAAUAUUUUCUUGGUUGAAUGAGAAAAAGAUUAAUAUGUAUUUUUCUUUUUAAAAGCAAUCUGUUAAGCAACCACAGUCUGACUUCAGUUUGGGCCAAGUGCUUUCAUCUGGAAGGUGUCCAAAUCAGAGAUCAUCUUUCACAUCCAUUUCAAUAUCUGUGGCAUCGGUUCAACCAGUGUCUUAGCAUUCUGCAACUUUUGUUGUUGGGUUGUAAAGAACCUACCAAAACCUAACAAAGAGCCUAUGUCUGUGUGUAAUAUUCUAGUCCAAUCAGCUUUAACCCAAGUUUGAAAUUAGGACUCAUUGUUUUCUCAAUAAUAAUGUCUUAUGAUUUUUUUCUAUUUUAAGAGGUUCUCACUCAUCUACCCUGAGCAACUCCAAAGGUGGUAUAGUUGUGUUCUAUCAGGAGAAUAAAAAUCCUCAAAAGUGAGUGAAGAGGAUAAUUGUUGCUUUUUUUCAAAUAAUUUUCUCUAAAUCAGUUGAUGUACUUGCAAGGCAAUAUGAAUCAUUCUAUUUAAAAAUAAACAGAACUGG